UACGUAGGGUGCGAGCGUUAAUCGGAAUUACUGGGCGUAAAGCGUGCGCAGGCGGUUGUGCAAGACAGAUGUGAAAGCCCCGGGCUUAACCUGGGAACUGCAUUUGUGACUGCACAGCUGGAGUGCGGCAGAGGGGGAUGGAAUUCCGCGUGUAGCAGUGAAAUGCGUAGAUAUGCGGAGGAACACCGAUGGCGAAGGCAAUCCCCUGGGCCUGCACUGACGCUCAUGCACGAAAGCGUGGGGAGCAAACAGG
rnacentral:rRNA from 1 species